UACGUAGGCAGCGAGCGUUGUUCGGAGUUACUGGGCGUAAAGGGUGUGUAGGCGGUUUUCUAAGUUUGGUGUGAAAUCUCCCGGCUCAACCGGGAGGGUGCGCCGAAAACUGGGAGACUAGAGUGCGGGAUGGGAGAGUAGAAUUCCUGGUGUAGCGGUGAAAUGCGUAGAUAUCAGGAGGAAUACCGGUGGUGUAGACGGCUCUCUGGGCCGACACUGACACUGAGAGACGAAAGCUAGGGGAGCGAAUGGG
rnacentral:rRNA from 1 species